UUAAAGCCACACCACGCCGAAUGUCAGCUGCGCUUUCCCCUGCUUCCCGGCCCCAUAUGUAGGUUAAUAGUUUGCAGAAAACGCGUUUAAAGCCUCUCCCCGUCUGCUUUCCCGGCGUACUCUCCCCAGCCAAGCGCAAUGCCACCGCAUCGCCUUUCCUGCUGCACGCUGCAAUUGAGAGACAAACCCGAACUCGCCCAACCAAAAUACCCCUCCGCAGUCCCCUGCGACUGCUCGAGCACUAAAGGAUGGCUUCUCACUUUGCGCUCCAGAAAUGAGAUACUGAAAAUCCAAGAUUGUGACAAACUGCAGAGUAAUACCGCUUCCAUGUCAAGACAGAGGGGUCUAGUCGCUGCAUCCUCAGCGUGACUUCAGCACCCUGAGUUUAGAUCCUUACGUACCUCCUACAACUCCCAUGUCUGGCCUUGGUCAAGCCACCCUAGUUAUAACCGCAUCUUGUGUGUGAGCCCCGGAGCCCGUCGUGCCUCAGCCCCUUCUUCCAGCAUUGCUGUCCACACUGUCCCUCCAAACACAGCCCUCAGUGGAGACGGACAUUUCUGGAGGGUGAUGAAACCCACCAGGAUCUCGGCUGGGAUGACUUGCCUCCCGCAAGGGUCUGUCUCCUUGCUCCUGAGCUAAGCCUAGACUACUGCCUCGAACCGACACCUGACUUCUGGAGAGCUGCGGUUAGGUGUGGUGAUCUCCUCCCUGCGUGAUUCAUUUUCCCCUCAUGUAAAUCAGGGGUAAUCCCUAUUUGACAGGUGCUGCUUCGCUGCUUGCGAAGUGCUCAGAGAGCACAGCAAAAACAGCCGGAGAGCCAUCUUUGAAUGAAAAAGCUGUGUUUCCUGUUGGUUAAAGCAUGUUCUGACACUUGGGAGUUGAUGGUUUUCUUUCCUUCUAUGCCACUAACUCUACAGAUGAUCUUGAGCAUCUUCCCCACCUGUUUCCCUCAACCAUGGAGGAGACAUAACACCACCAGACCAGUACUAGAAGAGCCUAGUGUGAAACAUAUCCUGCAAGCGCCGAGUGUUAUCCUUCUUCAUCAGCAAUUAUCCUCAUUUACUGGCAGACCACCUCGGUCGGCAUUUCUGCUUCCACCUCUGGAGGGUAAAACCCUACUUGCAAACAUAUACAAAGCGAUGAAGGUUUUAUUUUCUCUGGCAUGUUCAGACAGUAUCCUAGAUUUUUAUGUAAUGGACAAAUCCUUCAGGGAUGCUUCUUCCAGGAGGGUAGGGAGUGCUUGACUCUCCCUUUAUUUCUAAAGAAAACAUGCGCUACCCCAAUAUUAGGCCUUUGCAUAUAUUGGUACUGCAGAUAUAUAAAGCGCAAAAUGGCAAAUUCCUGAUAAAUACAGCCAAGUAUCCAAGAACGGUACUCACAUUUCCCUGUUCCACAAGCAUUUUAAUGGCUUUGGGGGCCAAAUUAACGUGAAAUCUGUUUCUUCUCAAGGCAUCACCAUCACCUCAGAAGUGAAAUACCGUGAGGAGAUCAUAAAUGUGUCCUUGAGGUGUAAAAGAAAGGCAAUGAAAAAUAUGAGCACAAAUAAAAACACUGGCUUAGGCUGCA